AUGAACGCUGGCGGCGUGCUUAACCCAUGCCAGUCGCACGAUGAAGCCCAGCUUGCUGGGUGGAUUAGUGGCGAACGGGUGAGUAACACGUGAGUAACCUGCCCUUAACUCUGGGAUAAGCCUGGGAAACUGGGUCUAAUACCGGAUAGGAGCGCCUACCGCAUGGUGGGUGUUGGAAAGAUUUAUCGGUUUUGGAUGGACUCGCGGCCUAUCAGCUUGUUGGUGAGGUAAUGGCUCACCAAGGCGACGACGGGUAGCCGGCCUGAGAGGGUGACCGGCCACACUGGGACUGAGAAACGGCCCAGACUCCUACGGGAGGCAGCAGUGGGGAAUAUUGCACAAUGGGCGAAAGCCUGAUGCAGCGACGCCGCGUGAGGGAUGACGGCCUUCGGGUUGUAAACCUCUUUCAGUAGGGAAGAAGCGAAAGUGACGGUACCUGCAGAAGAAGCACCGGCUAACUACGUG
rnacentral:rRNA from 1 species